rnacentral:rRNA from 1 species
UGUGGAAUAUUGGGCAAUGGGACCAACCCUGAUCCAGCCAUGCGGCGUGAGUGAUCAAGGCCCUAGGGUCGUUAAAUCUCUUUUGUGCGGGAAGAUAAUGACGGUACCGCAAGAAUAAGCCCCGGCUAACUUUCGUGC